rnacentral:rRNA from 1 species
CCUACGGGAGGCUGCAGUGGGGAAUAUUGCACAAUGGGGGAAACCCUGAUGCAGCGACGCCGCGUGAGCGAAGAAGUAUCUCGGUAUGGAAAGCCCCAUUAGCAGGGAAGAAAAUGACGGUACUUGAGUCAGAAGCUGCGGAAAAAUACGUGCCAGCAGCCGCGGUAAUACGAAUGGAGCAAGCGUUAUGCGGAUUUACGGGGCGUAAAGGGAGCGUAGGCGGCCUGCCUAGUCUGAGGUGAAAUUCCGGGGCUCAACCCCGGGGCUGCAUUGGAAACUGGCAGGCUGGAGUGCCGGAGGGGCAGGCGGAAUGCCGGGUGUAGCGGUGAAAUGCGUAGAUAUUGGGAGGAACACCAGUGGCGAAGGCGGGCUGCUGGACGGUGACUGACGCUGAGGCUCGAAAGCGUGGGGAGCGAACAGGAUUAGAUACCCCUGUAGUC